AUUGAACGCUGGCGGCAGGCCUAACACAUGCAAGUCGAACGGUAGCACAGAGGAGCUUGCUCCUUGGGUGACGAGUGGCGGACGGGUGAGUAAUGUCUGGGAAACUGCCCGAUGGAGGGGGAUAACUACUGGAAACGGUAGCUAAUACCGCAUAACGUCUUCGGACCAAAGUGGGGGACCUUCGGGCCUCACACCAUCGGAUGUGCCCAGAUGGGAUUAGCUAGUAGGUGGGGUAAUGACUCACCUAGGCGACGAUCCCUAGCUGGUCUGAGAGGAUGACCAGCCACACUGGAACUGAGACACGGCCCAGACUCCUACGGGAGGCAGCAGUGGGGAAUAUUGCACAAUGGGCGCAAGCCUGAUGCAGCCAUGCCGCGUGUAUGAAGAAGGCCUUCGGGUUGUAAAGUACUUUCAGCGAGGAGGAAGGCGGUAAGGUUAAUAACCUUGCCGAUUGACGUUACUCGCAGAAGAAGCACCGGCUAACUCCGUGCCAGCCGCCGCCGUAAAAC
rnacentral:rRNA from 1 species